AUUGAACGCUGGCGGCAGGCCUAACACAUGCAAGUCGAGCGGAUGAAGGGAGCUUGCUCCUGGAUUCAGCGGCGGACGGGUGAGUAAUGCCUAGGAAUCUGCCUGGUAGUGGGGGAUAACGUCCGGAAACGGGCGCUAAUACCGCAUACGUCCUGAGGGAGAAAGUGGGGGAUCUUCGGACCUCACGCUAUCAGAUGAGCCUAGGUCGGAUUAGCUAGUUGGUGGGGUAAAGGCCUACCAAGGCGACGAUCCGUAACUGGUCUGAGAGGAUGAUCAGUCACACCGGAACUGAGACACGUUCCAGACUCCUACGGGAGGCAGCAGUGGGGAAUAUUGGACAAUGGGCGAAAGCCUGAUCCAGCCAUGCCGCGUGUGUGAAGAGGGUCUUCGGAUUGUAAAGCACUUUAAGUUGGGAGGAAGGGCAGUAAGUUAAUACCUUGCUGUUUUGACGUUACCAACAGAAUAAGCACCGGCUAACUUCGUG
rnacentral:rRNA from 1 species